AUACAAAGAAGAGUUUGAUCCUGGCUCAGGAUGAACGCUAGCGACAGGCCUAACACAUGCAAGUCGAGGGGUAGCAUGAAGUAGCA
rnacentral:rRNA from 1 species